GACGAACGCUGGCGGCGUGCCUAAUACAUGCAAGUAGAACGCUGAAGGAGGAGCUUGCUUCUCUGGAUGAGUUGCGAACGGGUGAGUAACACGUAGGUAACCUGCCUGGUAGCGGGGGAUAACUAUUGGAAACGAUAGCUAAUACCGCAUAAUAGUAGAUGUUGCAUGACAUUUGCUUAAAAGGUGCAAUUGCAUCACUACCAGAUGGACCUGCGUUGUAUUAGCUAGUUGGUGAGGUAACGGCUCACCAAGGCAACGAUACAUAGCCGACCUGAGAGGGUGAUCGGCCACACUGGGACUGAGACACGGCCCAGACUCCUACGGGAGGCAGCAGUAGGGAAUCUUCGGCAAUGGACGGAAGUCUGACCGAGCAACGCCGCGUGAGUGAAGAAGGUUUUCGGAUCGUAAAGCUCUGUUGUAAGAGAAGAACGAGUGUGAGAGUGGAAAGUUCACACUGUGACGGUAUCUUACCAGAAAGGGACGGCUAACUACGUG
rnacentral:rRNA from 1 species